CUUAAAAGGAAAAGUGUAAACAACAUUGGAAACCAUAAGCAUUUGGCUAAAUCGAGAUCCGUGCACUCCACGUGCAUGUGAGACACCUCGGGACAACAUGUGAGCCUAUUGAGACACCUCGGGACAAAAUGUGAGCCCAUUGAGACACCUUGGGCAAUGAGCCCCCUGGAACACCAGUUUCGCACUGGAGACUCAUUCCGUUUUGAGGUUAUGUAUGGGUUCAGCUGCAGCAAACACAUGGAUAUCACCCAUAAAGAACAACUCAGCAGUAUGGUGUGAACGGACUCCAAGAAUAACUAAGUGAACUCGUUUAUUUGACAGCAUUUAUAAGAAUGACGUUGACAGCCUUGUAAAGAAUAAUUGGAAAUUUUCAUAUACCGAAAAACUAAUAAAAUUAAAUCAUAAUAAAUUACAUACAUUGUUUAUU
rnacentral:sRNA from 1 species